CUUUACUGUAGCCUGGUAUUGGGUUCGGGCUUUGACUGCGCAGGAUAGGUGGGAGACGUUGAAGCAAUCCUUGUGGGGGUUGUGGAGUCAACAGUGAGAUACCACUCUGUCAAGGCUAGAAUUCUAACCUUCGCCCGUAAUCCGGGGAGGGAACAGUUUCAGGUGGGCAGUUUGACUGGGGCGGUCGCCUCCUAAAUGGUAACGGAGGCGCGCAAAGGUUCUCUCAGGCUGGUUGGAAGUCAGCCAUAGAGUGCAAAGGCAGAAGGGAGCUUGACUGCAAGACCUACAAGUCGAGCAGGGUGGAAACACGGUCUUAGUGAUCCGACGGUGCCGCAUGGAAGGGCCGUCGCUCAACGGAUAAAAGUUA
rnacentral:rRNA from 1 species